CAGUCGCCACGGUAAUACAGAGGGUGCAAGCGUUAAUCGGAAUUACUGGGCGUAAAGCGUGCGCAGGCGGUUUGUUAAGACAGAUGUGAAAUCCCCGGGCUCAACCUGGGAACUGCAUUUGUGACUGGCAAGCUAGAGUGUGGCAGAGGGGGGUGGAAUUCCGCGUGUAGCAGUGAAAUGCGUAGAUAUGCGGAGGAACACCGAUGGCGAAGGCAGCCCCCUGGGCCAACACUGACGCUCAUGCACGAAAGCGUGGGGAGCAAACAGGAUUAGAUACCCCUGUAGCCCUGUCUCUUAUACA
rnacentral:rRNA from 1 species